rnacentral:tRNA from 1 species
GCCCGGAUGGUGGAAUCGGUAGACACGCAGGACUUAAAAUCCUGUAGCCAUUGCGGCUGUGCGGGUUCAAGUCCCGCUCCGGGUA